UUGAUCCUGGCUCAGGACGAACGCUGGCGGCGUGCUUAAUACAUGCAAGUCGAGCGAGGUUAUCUUUUCAACGUCCUUCGGGACGGCGAAUUUUUAACCUAGCGGCGGACGGGUGAGUAACGCGUGGGUAAUCUGGCCUAAAGCCCGGGAUAACCAGACGAAACUGCCGCAAGUACCGUUUAGCUUUAUCUGGAGGCAUCUUCGGAUAAGGAAACGUAAGGCUUUAUGAUGAGCCCGCGUCCCAUUGGCUAGUUGGUGAGGUAACGGCCCACCAUGGCGACGAUGUGUAGCCGGCAUGAGAGGCUGAACGGCAAUUCUGGGACUGAAACACGGCCCAGACUCCUACGAGGCCGUCAGGGAUAUUGCAAUGGAGAACGUCAUGACGCACCGAACCGCCACGUGAGCGAUGAAGGUUUCGGACGUAAAGCUCUGUACUGGGAUGACAGGCUUACGCCUUUCGAGGUACCAAGACGAGCCCGUCUAUACGUGCCAGCAGCCGCAGCUAUACUAGGGCAGCGUUCCGGACUUAUGCGAUGAAGACGGGCGUAGCCGGCUUUUAGUAGAUUGAACAUCCUCCGCUGAUCAACGUGGGCCAUAGAAUGGAGGUGUUGAGUAUCGGAGAGGGUACUGAAUAAUUCCCAGUGUAGCGUGGAUGCGUCAGAUAUUGGAACGAACACAGGGAAGCACUAAUGACUGAAAACUGAUGUGAGGCAGAAGCUAGCGGGAGUCAAACAGGAUUAAUCUGUAGUCUCCGUAAGACGAUGGGUAUAGUGUAGGGUUUCGAUACCUUUGUGCGCAUGACCGCAAUACCAUCACCGCCGAUGGGAGUACGUGCACGCAGCAUGCAGACUCGAAGAAUUGAAGCCCGCAAGCGUGACAUGUCGCUGAAUUGACAACGAAAUCCUACAGUCAGACAUCCCUUGAAACAGCUCAGUAGAUGAGGUAUCUUCGACAAGGAACAGUGGUGCAUGUUGUCGUCAGCUGUUCGUGAGAUGUUGGUUAAGUCCGUCACAGCCAAGCCUUCCUAUUGCCAUCAUUGCAGUGGCACUCUAGAGGGACUGCCGGUGACAAACCGGAGGAAGGUGGGGAUGACGUCAAGUCAUCAUGCCCCUUAUGUCCUGGGCUACACACGUGCUACAAUGGUCUGUACAGAGGGAAGCGAAGCAGCGAUGUGAAGCGAAUCCCAGAAAACAGAUCUCAGUUCGGAUCGUAGGCUGCAACUCGCCUCCAUGAAGCUGGAAUCGCUAGUAAUCGCAGGUCAGCAUACAGCGGUGAAUACGUUCCCGGGCCUUGUACACACCGCCCGUCACACCACGAAAGUUUCCAACACCCGAAGCCGGUGGCCUAACCCGCAAGGGAGGGAGCCGUCGAAGGUGGGGCAGAUGAUUGGGGUG
rnacentral:rRNA from 1 species